rnacentral:rRNA from 1 species
CGGACUGGUGAGUAACGCGUGGGCGACCUGCCCCGGGGAUGGGGACAGCCGCUGGAAACAGCGGGUAAUACCGAAUACGCUUGUGUGACUGAGGUCAUAUGAGGAAAGGGGCUACGGCCCCGCCCCGGGAUGGGCCCGCGUCCCAUUAGCUAGUUGGAGGGGUAACGGCCCGCCAAGGCGAAGAUGGGUAGCCGGCCUGAGAGGGCGAACGGCCACACUGGGACUGAGAUACGGCCCAGACUCCUACGGGAGGCAGCAGCUAAGAAUAUUCCGCAAUGGGCGAAAGCCUGACGGAGCGACGCCGCGUGGAUGACGAAGGCCGAAAGGUUGUAAAAUUCUUUUGCGGGCGAAGAAGAAGGCGCGGAGGGAAUGCCGCGCCGGUGACGCCGGCCCGCGAAUAAGCCCCGGCUAAUUACGUGCCAGCAGCCGCGGUAACACGUAAGGGGCGAGCGUUGUUCGGAAUUAUUGGGCGUAAAGGGCGCGUAGGCGGCCGCGUAAGUCUGAUGUGAAAACCCCGGGCUCAACCCGGGAACUGCAUUGGAAACUGCGGGGCUUGAGUGACGGAGGGGAAGCCGGAAUUCCUGGUGUAGGGGUGAAAUCUGUAGAUAUCAGGAAGAACACCGAUGGCGAAGGCAGGCUUCCAGCCGAUGACUGACGCUGAGGCGCGAAAGUGCGGGGAGCAAACAGGAUUAGAUACCCUGGUAGUCCGCACUGUAAACGAUGCACACUAGGCGUCGGGGCGAGCGUCCCGGUGCCGAAGCGAACGCGGUAAGUGUGCCGCCUGGGGAGUAUGCCCGCAAGGGUGAAACUCAAAGGAAU